UACGUAGGGGGCUAGCGUUAUCCGGAAUUACUGGGCGUAAAGGGUGCGUAGGUGGUUUCUUAAGUCAGAGGUGAAAGGCUACGGCUCAACCGUAGUAAGCCUUUGAAACUGGGGAACUUGAGUGCAGGAGAGGAGAGUGGAAUUCCUAGUGUAGCGGUGAAAUGCGUAGAUAUUAGGAGGAACACCAGUUGCGAAGGCGGCUCUCUGGACUGUAACUGACACUGAGGUUCGAAAGCGUGGGUAGCAAGCAGG
rnacentral:rRNA from 1 species